CCAAUUUUGGUACAUUUGCCAGAAAGCACAACAUCGUGAUAUGUUUAAUGACAUGUGGGUGGGUGUGCUUCACCAUGUCACAGGGAAGCAUGAAUGGACCCGUGGCAAAUGUGACCAUGGACCACUUGAUGCAACGUGGCAUGGUGCCAGGAUCUCCACCACACGAGGCUCUUCAACGAAUCAUGUUCAACAGACGCUGGUUGAAGGAUGUCACCAAUCUGACCUUUAGGCCCCAGCUACGUGAAGCAUCAAAAGACAGGAAUGACUUCUUUCAUGCACACAGAUUUAUUAGAAAUUAAGAAAAAAUACUAUGUACAAAUGCAAAUAACAGAACUUUUUUGCACAUAAAUAAAAAUAAAUAUAUUGCACAAA